rnacentral:lncRNA from 1 species
GGAUUGUUUCGGUUUUUAUUUCCGAAGAUUCUUUCCGCCGUCCGUUCCCGUGGCGAAUCUGCGGCCGGCGGCCGUGCGGGAGGGGAGGCGGGGCCUCGCUCUGCGCAGGCGUAGCGGCGGCGCCGCCUCUCGCGGUGUCCGGGCCGCGCUCCGGCCCCGCUUCGCUUUCACCGGAACCCGAGGCCGCCGCCGCUCCCCUUUCCCGGCAAUUUUGGGGAUGCUGAGGCGCCGGGUGACGUUCGAGGAGCCCCCGGGGGAGGGGGAGGGGCCGGAGGAGCCGCCCCGGAAACGGCGGGCUGUGGCCGUGGGGGGUCCCGGGAGCCGCUUCCCGGCCCAGCCGUCCCUGGACAGCGACGAGGAGGAGGAGGAGGAGGAGGAAGAGCAGAGGGAGGAGGGGCCGCCCGUGGAGGGGCAGGAGCCGGGCCCCGCGCCGGGGGUGGGGGAGGGGCCGGUGCCCCUCACCCCCUUCAACCUGGAGGAGGAGUUGGGGGA